rnacentral:rRNA from 1 species
UCCCAGUUCGGAUCGGAGCCUGCAACCCGGCUCCGUGAAGCUGGAUUCGCUAGUAAUCGCGCAUCAGCCAUGGCGCGGUGAAUACGUUCCCGGGCCUUGUACACACCGCCCGUCAAGCCAUGGGAGCCGGGGGCGCCUGAAGUGCGGUACCGCGAGGGCCGCCCAAGGGCGAGACCGGUGACUGGGGCUAAGUCGUAACAAGGUACC